AAGUCGUAACAAGGUUUCCGUAGGGUGAGUCAACAACUUCCCCCUCUAAUUUGUGAUAUCUUACUAACAUUACCGUCUAGUGAACCUGCGGAAGGAUCAUUACCGAGUAAGGGUCUUCUAGGCCUGACCUCCAACCCUCUGUUUAUCAAACCAUGUUGCUUUGGCGGGCCCGCCUCUUCGGGGCCGCUGGGGGCCUUACCGCCUCUGGCCAGUGCCCGCCAGUGGCCUUUUUUAAAACUCUCUUAACCUAUUGUCUGAGUCUAAACAAAAAUCGUUAAAACUUUCAACAAUGGAUCUCUU
rnacentral:misc_RNA from 1 species